rnacentral:lncRNA from 1 species
GCGGGGGAAAGGCCCACCCACGCUGUCCCUGGAGUCCCCUCCAGUGUCCCCAGGGACGCAGUCCGCGGCCGCCAGCUCCAGGGGCUCGGGCCCCAGGUUGGAGUAGCCACGCUAGCGGCUAGGCCGUUCCACCGGGUAGCUCCGCCCUUCCUUUUGCUCAGGCAGCUAACUUUGGAGCCGGGCAAGACGUGUUUUCCCGCUCCUUCGAAUUUAACCGCCCAGUGCCUGCCUCCUGGAAAAGCUACUCCCACCCUGUCCCCAAAGUCUCAGACUAACUCGCUCCAGGUCACAGGACCCACUAAGAGGGCCUUUCCAGCUCAUGCCCGGAACAGGGGUGCAGCGGCGACCCUCUGGGAUCUGGAGAGAGAGAAUUUAACACGGCCUUCCUGAAGUACAUUCACGCAAAUGUGAGAAAGACUUCAACGCACAGAAUCGCCAAAGCCCUUGCCGUCUUAAAUAAAUCCUGCCCCUUGGCACAGAAGAACGGAG